UCCCUGGUGGCUCAGAAGGUAAAGAAUCUGCCUGCAAUGCUGGAGACCCAGGUGCGUUCCCUGGCUCGGGAA
rnacentral:tRNA from 1 species